rnacentral:rRNA from 1 species
ACUCAAAGGAAUAGACGGGGGCCCGCACAAGCAGUGGAGUAUGUGGAUUAAUUCGAAGCAACGCGAAGAACCUUACCAGGUCUUGACAUCCUAAGGAUCCUUCAGAGAUGAGGGAGUGCCCUUCGGGGAACUUAGAGACAGGUGGUGCAUGGUUGUCGUCAGCUCGUGUCGUGAGAUGUUGGGUUAAGUCCCGCAACGAGCGCAACCCUUAUCAUUAGUUGCUAGCACUUAAAGGUGAGCACUCUAAUGAGACUGCCGUUGACAAAACGGAGGAAGGUGGGGAUGACGUCAAAUCAUCAUGCCCCUUAUGACCUGGGCCUCACACGUACUACAAUGGCUAUUAACAAUGGGAAGCGAAGCCGCGAGGUGGAGCAAAUCCCCAAAAAUAGUCUCAGUUCGGAUUGCAGGCUGAAACUCGCCUGCAUGAAGUCGGAAUUGCUAGUAAUCGUAGGUCAGCAUACUACGGUGAAUACGUUCCCGGGCCUUGUACACACCGCCCGU